rnacentral:rRNA from 1 species
AAGGAAUAUUGCUCAAUGGGAGAAAUCCUGAAGCAGCAACGCCGCGUGGAGGAUGAAGGGUCUAUGACUUGUAAACUCCUGUAAAGAAGGAAAAAAUUCCCAUUUGAUGGGAGAUGAUGGUACUUCUGGAGUAAGCCCCGGCUAACUACGUGCCAGCAGCCGCGGUAAUACGUAGGGGGCAAGCGUUGUCCGGAUUUACUGGGUGUAAAGGGUGCUCAGGCGGAUUUGUAAGUCAGAGGUGAAAUCUUACAGCUUAACUGUGAAACUGCCUGUGAUACUGCAAGCCUAGAGUAUGGAAGAGAGUGAUAGAAUAUCUGGUGUAGCAGUGAAAUGCGUAGAUAUCAGAUAGAACACCAAUGGCGAAGGCAGUCACUUGGUCCAUUACUGACGCUAAAGCACGAAAGCGUGGGUAGCAAACA